UACUUCGCAGGAGUCUCUCAGGUGACCGCUGCGUUCGUCCCAGAAGCUCCAUCGCUGCUUUGAGCUCCGACCUCCAGUUUACCACAACGGUGGACGACAACUCUCCCUCACCGUCAGACGAAGCUGAGAGCUCACCCACAUGAUUAUCUUUGCCUCUAAGAACCAUGUGUGUGCCGCAGUGUGUGAAUCCAAACACCGCCUCGGGGUCCCGAUAAGCCGAAGUAACGCGAUAAAGGGGCCACGUCAAAAAACAAUGCGUCGGUCAUAUCUGAAGAGCAGACGCUGGCAGGAGAGUCGCAGCGAAGGUCACCAGAUGUGAUGGUGUACGUACGGGCUUUGAGAAGUCUGUGUGAAGAUCACGGUUGGACAAUGAGGUCAGCAGAGGCAAGAAACCUGUUGCAUUGUAUACAAUAGUAUCUGAUUAGGGGGUAGGAAUUGAAAAGUUCUGCAUGGAUGCUUAUUGCAUGAUAGCCAGAGCAUUGCUUGAAUCCGAUAUAUAGUUUCUUUCUGCAGCUUGUUUUUUUUAAAUUUCUUUUGUAAAGAGAAACAAAGUCAGACGGUACCUGAAUCUGAGAAUAAUGCUCGGUCUUAAUGUGGCGUAAGUGAUUUAAAAGGGACUUCCAGCAAGAACACAUGUGUUCAUGGGAUGUAAAGGUGUCGUCUGACUGCCCCUACUAGCCUCCAAAAAAAACACAUAUACCAAAACCAUAAGUAUGCUGUCUUUCAACUUUGUGAUAUUAUUAUUUUGUAUUUCAUUCCAUGGAGAUGACAUUGUUGGCAGGGCCACACCGUUUAAUUUGUUGUCUUUCACCUUUUUUUUUGACAUUGUGUAUUCAAAUAAUGAUGUAUUUUUGUAUUGUUCUUUAUUGUAAGGAUGUUUUAAUCACUGGAUAUUGUGUGAAGAACAAUGCACUGAAUUACAACAGGUCAUUGUUGAUUUGUAGAGAUUAUUUUCUCAGGAUUGGAUAUUGCCUUUGGAUGCAUGUAUUUCUAUGGAACAUGACUGUGAACAUGUAGACAUGUUGUUUUCUUUAUAACAGUGUACUUCCUGGGAAUGUUUUGUUUAGCAAAUUCUUUUCAUAAAAAUUGCACUUUUUCUGUGUCCUACUCCUGUAGAUAGUGGUUUUACUUAUUGGAAAAUAUGUCAGUUGUCAUGAGUAAGUGAAUUCAUUUUUCAUAAGAAUGCACUGGAGGUGAUAUGUCUCGCGAGUUAUUUUAGUCAAAUCUACCUUUUGGUUUCUUUGCUGUCCUUUUCCAACCUAUUUUACCAAAAGCAGAAUAUUUGUAAUUUUCUGUAUUUCUGUCUCUCUUUUCUGACAUCGAGUCCAUUCGGAAGGUUUCACGACGGACUUGAUUUUAUUACUCUACCUUUAAAAGUGUUUGAGAAACAUGUCCGCCACUACAUCUGUUUCCUCCAAAGUCCCCCCAUGACCCUGAAGAUACCAGUGUGGCUGGCUUUCCCUCCGAUUUUAUUAUCAAGCGGUUAAUACUUCACAAUAUGUAAUCAGCAGUGGAAAGUUACUGUAUUUGUAUGUGCACCUUUGUACUAUAGAUAUACCUGAGGUUGAAGACAGUCAUUUCUGUAUCGAAUUGCAUUUGGUCUAUGCAGUUGUCAAAAUGAUUUUUUUAAAGUAAAAAAAAGGAAAAGUUUUUACAUGAUAAAGUACCUUUUCCUCUUGUGUGAUAAUAUUGGAGAAUGUUGAACUCUUACUGUAUUGUAUGAAACACAAUAGCCAGAUUUCUCUUCUAUUGCUAUGCACCCUAAUCAUUCUGUAGUGUAAAUGUUUCUAUACCCAGCACUCAUUCUAAUGUCUAAUUUAGGGAAACUGUUGAUUAAUGUCACUAAUAAUUUGAUGUCAACUUGUAUACAAAAAAUCUUUUUGUUAAAAAAAUAAAAAAUAUUUGCAAUGAU